ACGUUGAAAAGUGAGCGGAUGAACUGAGGGUAGCGGAGAAAUUCCAAUCGAACUUGGAGAUAGCUGGUUCUCUCCGAAAUAGCUUUAGGGCUAGCCUCAAGUGAUGAUUAUUGGAGGUAGAGCACUGUUUGGACGAGGGGCCCCUCUCGGGUUACCGAAUUCAGACAAACUCCGAAUGCCAAAUAAUUUAACUUGGGAGUCAGAAUGUGGGUGAUAAGGUCCAUAUUCGAAAGGGAAACAGCCCAGACCACCAGCUAAGGUCCCAAAAUAUAUGUUAAGUGGAAAAGGAUGUGGCGUUGCCCAGACAACUAGGAUGUUGGCUUAGAAGCAGCCAUCAUUUAAAGAGUGCGUAAUAGCUCACUAGUCGAGUGACACUGCGCCGAAAAUGUACCGGGGCUAAACAUAUUACCGAAGCUGUGGAUUGUCCUUUGGACAAUGGUAGGAGAGCGUUCUAAGGGCGUUGAAGCAUGAUCGCAAGGACAUGUGGAGCGCUUAGAAGUGAGAAUGCCGGUGUGAGUAGCGAAAGACGGGUGAGAAUCCCGUCCACCGAUUGACUAAGGUUUCCAGAGGAAGGCUCGUCCGCUCUGGGUUAGUCGGGUCCUAAGCUGAGGCCGACAGGCGUAGGCGAUGGAUAACAGGUUGAUAUUCCUGUACCACCAUUAUUCGUUUUAAGCGAUGGGGGGACGCAGUAGGAUAGGCGAAGCGUGCUGUUGGAGUGCACGUCCAAGCAGUGAGAUUGAGUGUUAGGCAAAUCCGGCACUCUUAAGAUUGAG
rnacentral:rRNA from 1 species